rnacentral:misc_RNA from 1 species
GAUGAAGAACGUAGUGAAAUGCGAUAAGUAAUGUGAAUUGCAGAAUUCAGUGAAUCAUCGAAUCUUUGAACGCACCUUGCACUCCUUGGUAUUCCGAGGAGUAUGCCUGUUUGAGUGUCAUUAAAUUCUCAAACCUCGUAGGCUUUAUUGACUAUCGAGGCUUUGGAUGUGGGAGUUGCUGGCUUUCACGAAGUCAGCUCUCCUUAAAUACAUUAGUGGUUACUGUUCUCCACUUCUUGGUGUGAUAAUUAUCUACGCCAUAGUGAAGAAGUAAAGUGUAGCUGCUUUCUAACCGUCCAUUUACUUGGACAACUUGAACCAUUUGACCUCAAAUCAGGUAGGACUACCCGCUGAACUUAAGCAUAUCAAUAAGCGGAGGA